GAUGAACGCUAGCGGCAGGCUUAAUACAUGCAAGUUGAGGGGCAGCAUGAUAUACGCGAGUAUAUUGAUGGCGACCGGCGGACGGGUGAGUAAUAGGUAGGAGACCUACCUCAUACAGGGGGAUAGCAUAGAGAAAUCUGUGGUAAUACCCCAUGAGGUUAUAUGAAUAGAGGCAUAUAAUCAAAGCAUAAGCGAUUAUGCGGUAUGAGAGGGGCCUACUGACCAUUAGCUAGUUGGUGAGGUAAGGGCUCACCAAGGCGAAGAUGGUUAGGGGUUUUGAGAGAGAGACCCCCCACAUUGGAACUGAGAGACGGUCCAGACUCCUACGGGAGGCAGCAGUAGGGAAUAUUGGGCAAUGGGCGAAAGCCUGACCCAGCCAUGCCGCGUGAAGGAAGACGGCCUUAUGGGUUGUAAACUUCUUUACUACGCGAAUAAAAGGGUUAAGUACGAGAUACUAAUAGGAAGGUAGUGUAGUAAAAGCACCGGCUAACUCCGUGCC
rnacentral:rRNA from 1 species